rnacentral:SRP_RNA from 3 species
UAUUGGUCCUCUCGCAACAAUAGCAGGUGAAUCUGGUCAGGCCCGGAAGGGAGCAGCCACAGCUUGUGACUUGUGUGCCGGGAUGUGGCUGGUAAGA